rnacentral:rRNA from 1 species
CCUACGGGAGGCAGCAGUGGGGAAUAUUGGGCAAUGGGCGCAAGCCUGACCCAGCAACGCCGCGUGAAGGAAGAAGGCUUUCGGGUUGUAAACUUCUUUUCUCAGGGACGAAGAAAGUGACGGUACCUGAGGAUUAAGCCACGGCUAACUACGUGCCAGCAGCCGCGGUAAGACGUAGGUGGCAAGCGUUAUCCGGAUUUAUUGGGGGUAAAGGGCGUGUAGGCGGGAGCGCAAGUCAGAUGGGAAAACUCAGGGCUCAACCCUGAGACUGCAUUUGAAACUGUGUUUCUUGAGUGCUGGAGAGGCAAACGGAAGUCCGGGUGUAGCGGUGAAAUGCGUAGAUAUACGGAGGAACACCAGUGGCGAAGGCGGAUUGCUGGACAGUAACUGACGCUGAGGCGCGAAAGCGUGGGGAGCAAACAGGAUUAGAUACCCGAGUAGUC